rnacentral:rRNA from 1 species
UCUUAUGAGAGUUUGAUCCUGGCUCAGAGCGAACGCUGGCGGCGUGCCUAACACAUGCAAGUCGAGCGGACUAUGUGAAGGGGUAACUCUUCAUAUAGUCAGCGGCGAACGGGUGAGUAACACGUGGGUAACCUACCCUCAAGAGGGGGAUAACUCGGGGAAACCUGAGCUAAU